AUCUCUCUCUAUAUAUACAUAUAACAUACUAUUCUAAUGUAGAUAAUAAUAAUAAUUCCCAUGGAGUUCAACCGUGGUGCUAUCUGUCUCUUCCUCCUCCUCUUGAUCCUGGUUCUUGCCACUCCUUGCUUUUCAAAUGUGGGUGAUGAUGAUCAAGAAGGGUUGAUAUACAAUAUAGAUUAUAGAGGACCUGAAACUCACUCUUCUUCACGCAGCAUUCCUCAUCCUCCCUAUCAGCCUUAUAAUUAUCUCCAUGGAAAAUCUACUAUCAACGGACUAACCCAUCAUCAUCAUCAUCAUCGCAAAUCUAAACCAGGAGAUCGAUCAACCCAUCACAAGGAAGAACAUUAAUCUUGGAUGAAGAACAUGCAUGAGAAGUGAUUGCAGUAGUCUGAUCAGAUAUUUGUCCUUAGAUCACUUGUUUUUUUGUGUGUCCAAAAUCAU